UACGGAGGGGGCUAGCGUUGUUCGGAAUUACUGGGCGUAAAGCGCACGUAGGCGGCUUUGUAAGUUAGAGGUGAAAGCCCAGGGCUUAACCCUGGAAUUGCCUUUAAGACUGCAUCGCUAGAAUCGUGGAGAGGUGAGUGGAAUUCCGAGUGUAGAGGUGAAAUUCGUAGAUAUUCGGAAGAACACCAGUGGCGAAGGCGGCUCACUGGCCCGGUACUGACGCUGAGGUGCGAAAGCGUGGGGAGCGAACAGG
rnacentral:rRNA from 1 species